GAAUUCGCCCUUAGAGUUUGAUCCUGGCUCAGGAUGAACGCUGGCGGCGUGCCUAAUACAUGCAAGUCGAACGCUUUGUGGUUCAACUGAUUUGAAGAGCUUGCUCAGAUAUGACGAUGGACAUUGCAAAGAGUGGCGAACGGGUGAGUAACACGUGGGAAACCUACCUCUUAGCAGGGGAUAACAUUUGGAAACAGAUGCUAAUACCGUAUAACAAUGACAACCGCAUGGUUGUUAUUUAAAAGAUGGUUCUGCUAUCACUAAGAGAUGGUCCCGCGGUGCAUUAGCUAGUUGGUAAGGUAAUGGCUUACCAAGGCAAUGAUGCAUAGCCGAGUUGAGAGACUGAUCGGCCACAAUGGGACUGAGACACGGCCCAUACUCCUACGGGAGGCAGCAGUAGGGAAUCUUCCACAAUGGGCGAAAGCCUGAUGGAGCAACGCCGCGUGUGUGAUGAAGGGUUUCGGCUCGUAAAACACUGUUGUAAGAGAAGAAUGACAUUGAGAGUAACUGUUCAAUGUGUGACGGUAUCUUACCAGAAAGGAACGGCUAAAUACGUGCCAGCAGCCGCGGUAAUAAGGGCG
rnacentral:rRNA from 1 species